GUGGGGAAUAUUGGACAAUGGGCGAAAGCCUGAUCCAGCAAUGCCGCGUGAGUGAUGAAGGCCUUAGGGUUGUAAAGCUCUUUUACCCGGGAUGAUAAUGACAGUACCGGGAGAAUAAGCUCCGGCUAACUCCGUGCCAGCAGCCGCGGUAAUACGGAGGGAGCUAGCGUUGUUCGGAAUUACUGGGCGUAAAGCGCACGUAGGCGGCUUUGUAAGUCAGAGGUGAAAGCCUGGAGCUCAACUCCAGAACUGCCUUUGAGACUGCAUCGCUUGAAUCCAGGAGAGGUGAGUGGAAUUCCGAGUGUAGAGGUGAAAUUCGUAGAUAUUCGGAAGAACACCAGUGGCGAAGGCGGCUCACUGGACUGGUAUUGACGCUGAGGUGCGAAAGCGUGGGGAGCAA
rnacentral:rRNA from 1 species